rnacentral:rRNA from 1 species
AACUUGAAAUAGUUCACUCUACCAUGGUCUCAGAAGCAAAGCUAGGGCUAGUACUUGGAUGGAAGACCUCUUGGGAAACCUGGGUUUUUUAGGUUC